rnacentral:rRNA from 1 species
UACGUAGGUGGCGAGCGUUGUCCGGAUUUACUGGGCGUAAAGAGCGCGCAGGCGGCUGGGCAAGUCCGAUGUGAAAGCUUCCGGCUUAACUGGAAAAUUGCAUCGGAAACUGCUCGGCUUGAAGGUGGGAGAGGGUAGCGGAAUUCCCGGUGUAGUGGUGAAAUGCGUAGGUAUCGGGAGGAACACCAGUGGCGAAGGCGGCUACCUGGCCCACUCUUGACGCUGAGGCGCGAAAGCUAGGGGAGCAAACGGG